GAUGAACGCUAGCGGCAGGCCUAACACAUGCAAGUCGAGGGGUAACUAGAGUGAUAGCAAUAUUACUUUGGCUAGACCGGCGCACGGGUGCGUAACACGUAUGCAACCUACCUUAUACUGGGGAAUAACUUCGAGAAAUCGGCGCUAAUACCCCAUAACAUUGCGAAGAGGCAUCUCUUUGCAAUUAAAGCUCCGGCGGUAUAAGAUGGGCAUGCGUCCAAUUAGCUAGUUGGUGAGGUAACGGCUCACCAAGGCUACGAUUGGUAGGGGUUCUGAGAGCAUGAUCCCCCACACUGGUACGUAGACACGGACCAGACUCCUACGGGAGGCAGCAGUGAGGAAUAUUGCGCAAUGGACGAAAGUCUGACGCAGCCAUGCCGCGUGCAGGAUGACGGCCCUAUGGGUUGUAAACUGCUUUUGUACGGGAAUAAACCCUUCUACGUGUAGGAGGCUGAAGGUACCGUAAGAAUAAGCACCGGCUAACUCCGUGCCAGCCGCCGCCGUAA
rnacentral:rRNA from 1 species